rnacentral:rRNA from 1 species
AGUGAACGCUGGCGGUAGGCCUAACACAUGCAAGUCCAACGGCAGCACAGUAAGAGCUUGCUCUUACGGGUGGCGAGUGGCGGACGGGUGAGGAAUACAUCGGAAUCUACUUUUUCGUGGGGGAUAACGUAGGGAAACUUACGCUAAUACCGCAUACGACCUACGGGUGAAAGCAGGGGAUCUUCGGACCUUGCGCGAUUGAAUGAGCCGAUGUCGGAUUAGCUAGUUGGCGGGGUAAAGGCCCACCAAGGCGACGAUCCGUAGCUGGUCUGAGAGGAUGAUCAGCCACACUGGAACUGAGACACGGUCCAGACUCCUACGGGAGGCAGCAGUGGGGAAUAUUGGACAAUGGGCGCAAGCCUGAUCCAGCCAUACCGCGUGGGUGAAGAAGGCCUUCGGGUUGUAAAGCCCUUUUGUUGGGAAAGAAAAGCAGCAGGUUAAUACCCCGCUGUUCUGACGGUACCCAAAGAAUAAGCACCGGCUAACUUCGUG